UAGAUAUCGGCGCGGGCCGGGGGAGGAGCUGGGGCGCAGCCGGGCGCGCCUCCCCGAGCCCGCCCCGCGCUCCCCUCCCCUCCUUCCGCAGCCGCCGGGGCGGAGCGGGAGCCGGGCGCGUUGCGAGCGGGCCGGGGCCGGCGCCGGGUGUCCCCCUGCUCCGGAGCGAGGCCGCAGCACGCAGGAGGUCACGGGCAUGAGGGAGAAGCAGGCCCCUGUGACAUGGGCGCUGACAUGGGACACAGGGUGCAAUGAAACGCGAGGAAUGCAGGCAUGUCUGAGGUGGAGUUCAGCCAGCUCCAGGGACAGCACGGGGGGCUAGGAUGGAAAGCACGGAUCCCAGCUAAUAAUGAAGCUGCGGGGGAAUAAUAGCUGGCAAAAAGGUAACUUCCUGGGUUGAUAUUUGGCAAGGACACCAGUUCAGCAGUUCCUGCUUCUAGUGAACAGCACUGUGGGACCAGUAAAGGGACAAAUGGUCACUCCUCAGUUUUAUGUCUCCUCCGAAAGACAGAUUUAAUUUUAAUCCCAUUUGGAAUUUUACUUGUAAUGGAAACAGGAUGUUAUUACAGGAUAUUGAGCAGCACAUUGUACUUAAAUGUAACCAUCAGCAGCCUUGCUGUUCUUACAACUGGCAGGAGUUGCACUGGUCACUAAUCAAAUCCGAGUCCGUGCACUGCCAAACCCUCCUACGACUGAGACACCACUGCAAAAUCCAGCCCGUCCACAAAGGGCGGUCUGCAGCCUCUGCAAAUAUGAGUGAAACUCAUAGCAAUUCUCCGCAGAAGCGCCAGCUUUAACUUUCCUUGCCACUGAGGCCUGGAGUAGGUCUACGAGCCUGGGCUGCACAUUGAUGAUGAAGACCCAGCCCUUGCCAGGGAAGAGAGGUGACACAUGAGACCAAAUGCCGGCACUACUGGAGAUCUGGGCACAGGUGUUCUUGUGAGAGACCCACCCCAGCCUUUCCUGACCUGAGAGCUCUAGAAAAGCAGGUUGUGAACUUCUGGGACCUCUUUUUCCUACAUCCCUCAGUGCAGAGGCAUCCUCAGUUAGGUAGUUGCCUGUAAGGUGCCACACUCGCCCUGCCUUCUGCCACAUCCAUGAGCCAGUCUCCCAAGGGAAACCUGCUGGUCUGUCUCAUCAGAUGGCAAAGACAUGGCAUUGUUCAGAGUUAUUCUACUGUAACCACCCCUGUGACUGCUCAGAAAAUAAUCUGCUGAAGAAAGCAUCAGAAGGGGGAGAGAGCCAGUGCCGAGAAAAAGCUUAACUUGGCAGUUAAUAUUAAAUGUCUCUUUCAA